rnacentral:lncRNA from 1 species
AGUGUCUUAGAUAACAUAAGGGUGAGAAAAACCUUGGUGGAGUUGCGGGCGAUGACUCUCAAGGAGAGAUAGAGGCUAGGACCUCUCAAGGAGAGAUAUGGGAAAUGAGUCUUUUGGAGAGAUGACGGCGAGAACCCUUGUAGAGAGAGAGAGGAUGUGAGAGGACGUGAGAGAGAGAGAGAGAGAGAGAGAGAGAGAGAGGAGGUGAGAUUAGGAGAAGAGGGCGAGGACUAUAGGAGAGCAAGAAUUGGCUAGGAUAAGAGAGAGGGGAGGAGAGAAAAAAUUGAGCGAGGACUAGAGAGAGAUCAGGCGAGGACUGAGGAGGGUCCUUACUAGCUCUCGUCAUCUUAUUUCGUUUUUCGUUGAUGGUUUCAUAUGAAUUUUUUUUGGUUUCCCGAAGGUUGUUUCGUAAAUCAUUGAGUUUCAUUUGAUUUUACAAAAAUUAUCUUCAGAAAAAUUUGUUUUGUUUUAUUC